rnacentral:rRNA from 1 species
GACGAACGCUGGCGGCGUGCCUAAUACAUGCCAGUUGAGCGCUGAAGGUUGGUACUUGUACCAACUGGAUGAGCAGCGAACGGGUGAGUAACGCGUGGGGAAUCUGCCUUUGAGCGGGGGACAACAUUUGGAAACGAAUGCUAAUACCGCAUAAAAACUUUAAACACAAGUUUUAAGUUUGAAAGAUGCAAUUGCAUCACUCAAAGAUGAUCCCGCGUUGUAUUAGCUAGUUGGUGAGGUAAAGGCUCACCAAGGCGAUGAUACAUAGCCGACCUGAGAGGGUGGACGGCCAAAUUGGGACUGAGACACGGCCCAAACUCCUACGGGAGGCAGCAGUAGGGAAUCUUCGGCAAUGGACGAAAGUCUGACCGAGCAACGCCGCGUGAGUGAAGAAGGUUUUCGGAUCGUAAAACUCUGUUGGUAGAGAAGAACGUUGGUGAGAGUGGAAAGCUCAUCAAGUGACGGUAACUACCCAGAAAGGGACGGCUAACUACGUG